CACGGGGGUUGCGAGCGUUGUCCGGAAUUACUGGGCGUAAAGGGUGCGCAGGCGGCCUUGUAAGUCAGAUGUGAAAGCCCCGGGCUUAACCUGGGAAUUGCGUUUGAAACUACAAAGCUAGAGUGCAACAGAGGGGAGUGGAAUUCCAUGUGUAGCAGUGAAAUGCGUAGAGAUGUGGAAGAACACCGAUGGCGAAGGCAGCUCCCUGGGUUGACACUGACGCUCAUGCACGAAAGCGUGGGGAGCAAACAGGAUUAGAUACCCUGGUAGUCCACGCCCUAAACUAUGUCAACUAGUUGUCGGAUCUAAUUAAGGAUUUGGUAACGUAGCUAACGCGUGAAGUUGACCGCCUGGGGAGUACGAUCGCAAGAUUGAA
rnacentral:rRNA from 1 species